rnacentral:lncRNA from 1 species
UUGCUCAGCUGGCGGCGAUGCUCUCUAACGAAGGUGAGGGAGUCCCUUUUAUAAAAUAAGGGCUCGCUCCUCAAUACAUAAGUGAUGGGCUAAGUCCCCCAGGUAUUUUUCAUGAGUGCUCUAUAAUGAAAGUGAGGAAGUCCCUUUUAUAAAAUAAGGGCUCACUCCUCAAUACAUGAAUAAUGGGUUAAGUCCCCCGAGUAUUUUUCAUGAAGCCCAGUUAAGGCCUAAUAUAUGGUACAUAAUGUAGUUCCCCAAAUCUUCGGUCAAUAGAGUCUGUUGGCUGGAGACUUCAAAUUGAAUCCAUGUAUGGGCCGAAGUGGCGGUUGUUCGGAGGCGGUAUUUGUAUACCCUGCAUUGAAGCUUUGUAAGUGAAGCUUUAUAAGUGAAGCUUUGAAUCUGGAGCUCUGUAAAUGAAGCUUUUGCAGCUAGAGCUUUUGUAAAUGAAGCUUUUUGAAGCUGAUUGACAUGAGUGAUGCUCAUGAAUGUUUGAUUGACAUGAGUGAUGCUCAUGGAUGUUGACAUGAGUGAUGCUCAUGAAUGUUGACAUGAGUGAUGCUCAUGAUUGUUUAUGUAUGAUUGACAUGAGUAAUGCUCAUGUAUAAUAUGAAGUACUAAGCGUACUUUUGAUCACCUGGUUGGUGGCAUGAAGAGGAGUACAGGUUGUACAUUUCAUCACCUGGUUGGUGGCAUGAAUGGCUAGUUGCCAAAUUAGAGUACGGGUUGUACAUCUCAUCACCUGGUUGGUGGCAUGAAUGGCUAGUUGUCAAAUGAUAUUUAGAGUACGGGUUGUACAUUUCAUCACCUGGUUGGUGGUAAUAGCGGCGGGUUGCCGAAUAAUUUUGGAGUACUAAGCGUACUUUUGGUCACCUGGUUGGUAUAAUAGCGACGGGUUGCCGAAUAAUUGUGAAGUACUGGGCGUACUUUUGAUGACCUGGUUGGUGCUAUUUUGGGCUUAUGGGCCUUCGCCCUCCACAACAUGCCAGCCCAUUUAUUUUGGGCUUUGCCCUUUUUUUUUUUUUAGGUAUUAUUAUUACCCUCUGAUGGGGUUUAUACAGAUGUAUCCGAAAGAUAAUAAAUUACAUCAUUCUGGUGGGAUGUUUAUUCCUUGCUUUUGCUUUUCUCUUUUCUUUUCUGCUUUUGUAAUUAUCUCAGUGGGUAGCCAUACUUUCUGCUUUGUUCUUUUCCACCACAAAUCUCAUGUU